GUUAGUUCAGGACUGAAAACAUCCAGAGGAAGAGUAGGACUCUCAGUUUAACAUCCGGAUUAAUUUGUGACAAGAAUUUGCGGCAGAUGCGACAGGACCAGAGAGAAUUUCUACCCGCGGCUGAGACGAGUGCUAAGAGCAGGAGAGGAGGAGCUGCCGUUCUGGCUGCAAGGCAGCCGCUGGACACCGGAUGGCAGCCUUGCCCCAUGAACGCAAGGAGGGCCUCGCUGAGCCGCUCUCACACCCCUACGGCGCUCCUCCACGCCGGCGACAAGGUCAAAUGCAGUACCGCCGCUCGGCCUCCCGA